rnacentral:lncRNA from 1 species
UUUAACUAAAACAAUAAUAAAGUGCGGAAGUUUGAAACAAGUCUCUACCCAGUAUCUGGUGUCACCACUCACGGACUACUAAGGAGUUCUAAAAAUAUCAGUCUGAAAGGAAAUACAUAUAACUAUUUGUUCCGAACACCAUGGGACAACAGAAUGAAGUAAGGAUAGAGAGGACGCCGGGCCUGCGGACGCCUAUAGGCUACCUCGGUGUCUCCCGGCUCAGAAUGAUAACAAAUGCACCGCUGCUGCUACUGCUGACCGAAUCCUCUAUCCGUGCAAAAAGGAGCAAAGAGUGUAGAAUCAGUACAACCGACCCCAUGUGCUAGUAAGUGCUUGGCCUAACCCCGACGAAGUAGUGACGAGGCUAAACAGGACUACCAUAUAAACCUGUGCAUUUCAACAUAUAUGGGCAAUAGAAGAGGAUAAAUGAAUUUAAACAAUUAAGAGGGUGGGAGCAUGCUAUGGGGGGUGAAGCAGUUCAGAUAUAAAGUCAACAGUUAGAAAAGAAUAAAAUUGUACAACAACAACAAUCCAUAGAAGCAGAAUAACCAACAGUUGCACGGCACCGUCCAUCAUGCUUUCACUAUCGUCCUUACCAAGAUAAUCAAUUAAAGUGUACGGGAUCACCCAUCGUACUUUAUCACUCUUCCUCACCCAACCAAUAGUAUGAAGUAAAUCCAUGGUUACAUGGCAUCACCCAUCGUGCUUUAUCCCUCAUCCUCUCCCAAUCCAUAGUAUGGAGUAAUCAAUGGUUACACGACAUUACCCAUCGUGCUUUAUCGCUCAGCUUCACCCAGUCCAUGGUAUGGAGUAAUCAAUGGUUACACGACACCACCUAUCGUGCUUUAUCGCUCAUCCUCACCCAAACAAUAAUAAAAAUAAUAGGGCGAAGGUAUAAAUGAAACCAUAAUAAUAAUAACCUCAGCAAGGGGAACGCAAACAACCGAUAAGUCCCGGCAAGGGUACAACUAAUAGCUCAGAUAUCCCGGCAAGGGAAUGAUCACAGUACUCUCGCUUGUAAACACUUAGCCGCCAACAAGUUCUGAGUCGAGCCAAUGCUCCACAAAUUUACAAAUCACUAUUUAUCCUCAACCGUUCAUUUCAUGUGAUCUAAAACAAUUCCUACAAGAAACCGUAUCAUACUAUUCGAAAUAAAAACAAUUAAGACCCACGGUCAUGCUAGACUCGGGUGCAUAGAAAACUGUCACCGUACCUAUACACUGACUCCACACUUAGCACGUACAAAGUCAUAUCCUAAUCCUAUUCCCUCAAGCCACAGUUAGAACAAAUACUUACCUCGGUCCGAAAAUAGCAAUCAAGCCUAUAACACCGCUUUUCUUCUAGAAUCCGGCUCCGAAACAAUGAUAUAUAGCCAUAAUUAGUUCAAUAUUAUCAAUAAUAUCUUAAAAAUACAAUUCCAUCGCCUAGAAUUGAAUUUCCUAUCAUUCUUCCAAAAAUACCAAAAUCUGACACCGGGCCCACAUGGUCCAAACUCGA